rnacentral:rRNA from 1 species
AUACGGAGGGAGCAAGCGUUAUUCGGAAUCACUGGGCGUAAAGGACGCGUAGGCGGGUUUGGAAGUCAGGUGUGAAAUCCUACAGCUCAACUGUAGAACUGCACUUGAAACUACAGACCUAGAGUAUGGAAGGGGCAGAUGGAAUUAGUGGUGUAGGGGUAAAAUCCGUAGAUAUCACUAGGAAUACCGAAAGCGAAGGCGAUCUGCUGGGACAUUACUGACGCUGAGGCGUGAAAGCGUGGGGAGCAAACAGGAUUAGAAACCCCAGUAGUCC